GGAUUGAUAGUUUAAUUGGUUAAAACUUUGACUUGUCACGUCAAAAACUACGGGUUCAAUUCCCGUUCAGUCCG
rnacentral:tRNA from 2 species